UACGAAGGGGGCUAGCGUUGCUCGGAAUCACUGGGCGUAAAGGGUGCGUAGGCGGGUCUUUAAGUCAGGGGGGAAAUCCUGGAGCUCAACUCCAGAACUGCCUUUGAUACUGGAGAUCUUGAGACCGGAAGAGGUAAGUGGAACUGCGAGUGUAGAGGUGAAAUUCGUAGAUAUUCGCAAGAACACCAGUGGCGAAGGCGGCUUACUGGUCCGGUUCUGACGCUGAGGCGCGAAAGCGUGGGGAGCAAACAGG
rnacentral:rRNA from 1 species